UAACAGUCUACAGCCAUGGU
rnacentral:ncRNA from 2 species